rnacentral:misc_RNA from 1 species
AACGCACGAGACCUGCGGACCUGCGGAAGGAUCAUUAUCGAGUUUACAACUCCCAAACCAUUGUGAAUCUUACCUUUUCGUUGCUUCGGCGGGAUCGCCCCGGGCGCUUCGGUGCCCCGGAUUCAGGCGCCCGCCGGGGGACCUAAACUCUUGUAUUAUAGUGGAUUUCUGAGUGGAUUACACAAAUAAUCAAAACUUUUAACAAUGGAUCUCU